rnacentral:rRNA from 1 species
AUUGAACGCUGGCGGCAGGCCUAACACAUGCAAGUCGAACGGUAGCACAGAGAGCUUGCUCUCGGGUGACGAGUGGCGGACGGGUGAGUAACGUCUGGGAAACUGCCCGAUGGAGGGGGAUAACUACUGGAAACGGUAGCUAAUACCGCAUAACGUCGCAAGACCAAAGUGGGGGACCUUCGGGCCUCACACCAUCGGAUGUGCCCAGAUGGGAUUAGCUAGUAGGUGGGGUAAUGGCUCGCCUAGGCGACGAUCCCUAGCUGGUCUGAGAGGAUGACCAGCCACACUGGAACUGCGACACGGUCCAGAAUCCUACGGGAGGCAGCAGUGGGGAAUAUUGCACAAUGGGCGCAAGCCUGAUGCAGCCAUGCCGCGUGUAUGAAGAAGGCCUUCGGGUUGUAAAGUACUUUCAGCGGGGAGGAAGGCGGUGAAGUUAAUAACUUCACCGAUUGACGUUACCCGCAGAAGAAGCACCGGCUAACUCCGUGCCAGCAGCCGCGGUAA